AACGUGGGUACCGAGCGUUAUCUGGAUUUACUGGGCGUAAAGCGCGUUCAGGCGGUCAGGCAAGUCGGGCAUGAAAUCUCUCGGCUCAACCGGGAGGGGUUGUCCGAUACUGGCUGGCUUGAGGGCAGUAGAGGGUGGUGGAAUUCCGGGUGUAGUGGUGAAAUGCGUAGAUAUCCGGAGGAACACCAGUGGCGAAGGCGGCCACCUGGACUGUACCUGACGCUCAAACGCGAAAGCUAGGGGAGCGAACGGG
rnacentral:rRNA from 1 species